UGCAAGUCGAACGGCAGCACGAGAGCUUGCUCUUGGUGGCGAGUGGCGAACGGGUGAGUAAUAUAUCGGAACGUAUCCAAUAAUGGGGGAUAACUAAUCGAAAGGUUAGCUAAUACCGCAUACGCCCUACGGGGGAAAGCAGGGGAUCUUCGGACCUUGCGUUAAUGGAGCGGCUGAUAUCUGAUUAGCUAGUAGGUGAGGUAAAGGCUCACCUAGGCUUCGAUCAGUAGCUGGUCUGAGAGGACGACCAGCCACACUGGAACUGAGACACGGUCCAGACUCCUACGGGAGGCAGCAGUGGGGAAUUUUGGACAAUGGGCGCAAGCCUGAUCCAGCCAUUCCGCGUGAGUGAAGAAGGCCUUCGGGUUGUAAAGCUCUUUCGCAUGGGAAGAAACGAUACCGACGAAUAAUCGGUGUUAAUGACGGUACCUUGAUAAGAAGCACCGGCUAACUACGUGCCAGCAGCCGCGGUAAUACGUAGGGUGCGAGCGUUAAUCGGAAUUACUGGGCGUAAAGCGUGCGCAGGCGGUUUUGUAAGUCAGAUGUGAAAUCCCCGGGCUCAACCUGGGAACUGCGUUUGAAACUACAAGGCUAGAGUAUGGUAGAGGGGGGUAGAAUUCCACGUGUAGCAGUGAAAUGCGUAGAGAUGUGGAGGAAUACCAAUGGCGAAGGCAGCCCCCUGGACUAAUACUGACGCUCAUGCACGAAAGCGUGGGGAGCAAACAGGAUUGGAUACCCUGGUAGUCCACGCCCUAAACGACGUCUACUAGUUGUUGGGAGAGUAAAAUCUCUUAGUAACGCAGCUAACGCGUGAAGUAGACCGCCUGGGGAGUACGGUCGCAAGAUUAAAACUCAAAGGAAUUGACGGGGGCCCGCACAAGCGGUGGAUUAUGUGGAUUAAUUCGA
rnacentral:rRNA from 1 species